UCUUGCUUAAAUUGCCUUAAGUAUUUUUGUUAUAUUUUGAAAGAAAAUUUCGUAUUUGGUACUAUGAAAGAAAUGUCGUUCGAAAAAUUAUAUUUUUCAAAAAACUGCAAAGUUUAACGUCACGAUUAAAAACCUAAUUAGGUUUUGGACGAACGUGACAUAACCUCUCAAAAUGAACUAAUUUUGGCAACUAUCAGUGGUUUGGUUAUGUUUUAAUUUUUAUAGAAUACGUGUUAAUAGAUAUGUAAACAAGCCAAAAAGAUGAACUUGAUUCAUCGGCAGUUUAUUCAUGUCGUCAUAGUGUGAAACCUAAUGCAAAUUAAAAUGAAUUACAAAGAACAGUUUUUGCUAUUUUUAGUUUUUUAGUUCUUCAGGGUUUUUUUUGGAAAAAUUUUCUUUCAGUGUGUACCUGUUCUACUCCUCAACCGAAUAUCUGAAUCUAUCUAUCGCUAUAGUACCUAGGUCUGUUUGUGUCAGUAGAUGAUGGCAAAUUAGUCAAAACAGGGAAGGAGAGAGCCCUAAAGGCAUUUUUGCAAAGCUGAAGUAUAUCCUAGAUAUCAGACGGCUUUAAGCAAUGAAUCGGUUAUUGUUUUGUCCUUAUUGCGCGAAUAUGCUUCCAACAACAGCGAUGGGGCCGCAGUAUGUACCUGCAAUGGGGCCGCAGUAUGUACCUGCAAUGCCUAGGCGAUACAGGGGGCGGCGACCGUGACCACCAGCACAGCCGCAGCAGCAGCCACAGCUCACUUUCACUUCACUCACAUGUCACUUUACUUGAAUUUACCUAUUACCAGUAUCCACGCUUAGUGAAAUGAUCACUGUAGUGGAAAAAACUCAUUUUUUCAAAAAAAAACAACUCAAAUGUUCAUUAACACUUCCGAAUAUCAAUUAGUCGAACAAUCGUAUGAAUUGUGCAAGCAUUCCCCUUUUCACGGCUAGAAUUUGAAACGAUGCACCUGAACUAAAGUUCAGAUUAGUUACAUUAAACAUUCUGACACACAAUUAAAUAUUAUGAAAUAGACAGUAUA